UUAAGAAAAAAAAAAUAAUAUUUUUUUAAGGAAAUGAGUGCAAUUUUUAGGCUUAAUUUGAGGAACCGUUUAGGCUAAAAAUUUGAGGAAAAAAGGCUUCAUAUUUAUUUUAAGAGAAUUGGUCCAAUUAUCUGGGUUUGAUUGAGUCACCUUCAUUUGAAUCUCAACAAUGGCUGUGGUCAGACAGCGUUUUGAAGGAGCAGACGAUCAGUGUAAAAUAUUAAGAGCAACUUCUGUGAUGACAAUGGAGCUUGUGGUGAAAGAAAAAAUGUCAAAAACCCUUGCUCUCCGAAGACAUGAGGUGGUUGAAUUGUGCCCAACUUGCAGAAUUUAAAGAUCACUGGCCUGCUCUGUUUGACAUUCUCCAGUAUUUUCCUGCAAAGGAGGAGCACUCGGACAGAUUUUGAAGAAGAAAACGGGUGCCAUACAGCAGACCUCACAUCAAAACAUAGAACAGACAAGAGAUGUUGUCCUCCGUUGCUUGGUCUAUUACUUGGGUGAAAAGGAGGAAGACCUCAUCCAGGAGUACAAUGUAAGUGUCUAAAACUAAUUCAGAUAUUUGUUUGCAGAAAACUGCAAUUAGCAUUUGUUUUCCUUUACAAAAACAGAAAUACAUCUUAAACAUAAGUACGUUCCUCAUGCAAAAACAUUCUUGCACUAGUGUCAGUGUCACGCAACGUGCCGAACGGGUGAUCGCUCAGGCAGCGCGAGGGAACAGGCAGGCAGGCGGAAAACAGGGCAAACUGGGGGUUUAUUGGGGAAUGCGGGUCGACAAACACCAGGUAACAUCAAUGACAGACAAAGGACUCAGGUAAGACAUGGACUGAAAUACACAGGACUGAUCAAAGUAACUAGACACAGCUGGGUACAAUCGGGAAAGAACACGUGGGUAAUCAGGGGAGCGUGGCACACACGA